CGCAAACAACUGCCAGCUCCUUUUAAAUGUAUUAGCAGAGCAGUAUAGGACUGGCCUCGGUUUGAUAAGAAAAUUUAUCUAUGCUGUCGCUGGGUUUUCCUCUUUGUGCUCAGCUUCAAAUUGUCUUCGGACUGUCUCUUUGAGGCAAAAAAACUCUAUUGAUCGACCUCAAAUCAGGUAGGACUACCCGCUGAACUUAA
rnacentral:misc_RNA from 1 species